UCGGCUUAGAGUUUGAUCAUGGCUCAGAUUGAACGCUGGCGGCAGGCUUAACACAUGCAAGUCGAACGGUAAAGUAGCUUGCUACUUACGAGUGGCGGACGGGUGAGUAACGUAUGGGAAUUUACCGAAUGGAGGGGGACAACAGUUGGAAACGGCUGCUAAUACCGCAUAACGUCGAGAGACCAAAGGGUUUCGACUUGCCAUUUGAUGAGCCCAUAUGAGAUUAGCUAGUUGGUGUGGUAAUGGCUCACCAAGGCGACGAUCUCUAGCUGGUUUGAGAGGAUGACCAGCCACACUGGGACUGAGACACGGCCCAGACUCCUACGGGAGGCAGCAGUGGGGAAUAUUGCACAAUGGGGGGAACCCUGAUGCAGCCAUGCCGCGUGUAUGAAGGAAGCCUUAGGGUUGUAAAGUACUUUCGUGGAGGAAGAAAGGAUUACGUUUA
rnacentral:rRNA from 1 species